rnacentral:rRNA from 1 species
GACAGAGGGUGCAAGCGUUGCUCGGAAUCACUGGGCGUAAAGGGCGUGUAGGCGGAUAGAUAAGUCGGGCGUGAAAUCCCCAGGCUCAACCUGGGAACUGCACUCGAAACUGUUUAUCUUGAGUGCCGGAGAGGAAAGCGGAAUUCCUGGUGUAGAGGUGAAAUUCGUAGAUAUCAGGAGGAACACCAGUGGCGAAGGCGGCUUUCUGGACGGUAACUGACGCUGAGACGCGAAAGCGUGGGGAGCAAACAGG